UAACGGACAUAACCGUGUUGGCUUCGUCUGGUCGUCGGCUUGGCGUCGUCGUGGUCAUCAGCUUGUCGUUGGCACCGAACGGUCACCGUCACCGAAGCGUGGUUCGUCGUCUGUCUGGCUCUGACCUUCUGUGCUCUCGGCCUCUCCCGUGGUGAGUACUCAGUAUAUCAAUGGAGAAUGAUAAAUGGUAUACUGAAAAGAUGGAAGUCAAAAGAGUAGAAGAGGGUCGCAUUAUAAUUUCAAAUGUAUUAUUGGGCAGCAGUGGAAGAAGAGUCAAAAUUUUGGAAGUAUCAGAUAAUCACAGGGAAGAAGUUGAGAGACAGAAACUCUGUUUUCAGACUUCAUUGGGACUCUCCUCCGAAUUUUUUUUACAAGGGCUUGUUUAUUUUUCCGAGGGGGAGAGAUGUGUUUUUAUUUACCAGCAUUAUGACAAGGACAUAUCAGAUGUUUGGGCUCAAGAUUGGAGUACAUUCAAGCUUUGUCUAAAGCAAUUUUUACAAGCUCUGUCAAGGUUAUAUCAAGAGAAGAAUAUGUGUUAUGGGAACAUAAAACAUCACAACUUUGUAAUAAGUGAGGAGGGUAGACCACUUGUUAGCGGAGUUGAGGGAAAUCUUCUUCCUGAUGAUAUUAGGGCCCAAGAUGCUAUUUUUACUGGUGAGAUGAAGAAGCUACGUAGAGUUAUAUUACCUUCCCAGAAUCUCGGUCCAACUCCAACCGCACUCGAGAUGUUUUUAGAUUUUACAGCAGGGUGUGAAUUAUGGAAUAUGAUUUUUUGCCAUCCGAUUUUCUUGGAUUUUCAACAUAAGUUAUAUUAUUUUCUUAUUGGCAACCAAUAUUUAAAUGAGCAUUUAGGAGAUUCUGACCUCGCCAAAAAUCUGAGAAGAAUGAUUGGAGACCAACUUCGAGCCUAUGGGAUAUAUGAGAAAUUGGCGCAAUGAAGUGUACAGAAUGAACGAUCCGGUGAUGAUGCGAAGUUUGAACAUGCAAAAUUAUGGCUAAUGUUGACGUGUGUCAACAAGCUGAAACUUUGACAAGAAGGAUUGAAGAUUUGUACCCUGGUUUUUUAUUUGCAUUACAUGGUGCAUUUGUGGAAGAUGGAGCUUAUAUAUUUGAUAUGCCCUAGUGGCUUAUCUAAAGCUUUCCAAGCUGCCUCUGCGUGCACUAAUUCAGCUAUUAUCUCACUUGCAAAAGAGGCAGUUGGAGUAGAAGAUACCCCCUUGGGUGGUUGGUCUGUAAGGUUGCAUUCUGCUGCCCCGGGAACGCUGAAUGUUCCAGGAUUGAGCUUAGGAGUUGGUCCAAAAGGAGGACUUGGUGAACAUGGUGAUGCGUAUCUUGACAGUUCAUUCUUACAAAGGCUGUUACUGUUUGUCCUUUGUCUUCAGUAAGCUCCCUUGUUCGGUUUGCUGAAGAGCCCCUGAUGUUUGCAGUUGAAUUCAGUGAUGGAUGCCCUAUCCAUGUUUAUGCAUGCACAUCUCGCAAUAGCUUACUUGCAGCUGUUCGUGAUGCAAUUCAAACUGAAGUAGGUAGAUGUAACUCAUCUUGGUUAAGAAUUUCCUACUAUGGCAUGUAUAGAUGGAAGUAAAGUAUGGCAGUUCAUUUGCUAGUUUAAUUGCUUGGAAUCUUGAUAUCAAUUUUAAAUAUUUUACCAUACUGAGGCAAAUGGUUAUAUGGUAUAUUUUUAUUUUCCAAAAUAAAGAAAUCCUGCAUUGUCUAAGUGCAUCUUUGAGUUUUGGUGAUGUUUUGUGCAGGGUCAAUGUGCCAUACUUGUAUUGCCAAGGCUGACAAUGCCUGGUCAUUGGAUUGAUCCUCCCUGUGGAAGUGUUUAUUUGCAAUAUGGUCAGCAAAAGUCAGUUGCUGAUGCUGAAAGUGCUUCAAUGCAUUUGAAACAUUUAACAGCAGCUGCCAAGGAUGCUGUUGCUGAAGGUGGUUCCAUUCCUGGAUCAAGAGCUAAACUAUGGCGAAGAAUAAGGGAGUUCAAUGCAUGUAUACCUUUUAGUGAUGUGCCUUCAACCGUUGAAGUGCCAGAGGUUACCUUGGCCUUGAUUACUAUGCUUCCUGCAGCUCCAAAUCUUCCUCCAGAAUCUCCUCCUUUGCCACCCCGUCACCAAAAGCUGCUGCAACUGUGAUGGGUUUUAUUGCUUGUUUACAUCGACUACUUGCAUCAAGAAGUGCCGCAUCACACGUGAUGUCUUUUCCAGCAGCAGUUGGAAGGAUAAUGGGUUUACUUAGAAAUGGUUCAGAGGGUGUUGCUUCUGAGGCUGCCGGGCUUGUUGCAGCACUCAUUGGUGGUGGGCCUGGUGAUGCUAAUGUGAUGGAUUCUAAAGGAGAGUGGCACGCAACAAUUAUGCAUACGAAGUCCGUAUUGUUUGCUAAUUAGAGUUAUGUCAUUAUUCUUGUCAACAGAUUGAAGCCUAUGUCAGUAUCACCUUUGCUGUCAAUGGCUGUGGUUGAAGUGCUCGAGGCUAUGAUUUGUGAUCCACAUGGGGAAACUACUCAAUAUAAUGUUUUUGUUUAGUUGUUGCGCCAAGUUGCUGGGUUAAAGCGUCGUUUGUUUGCACUAUUUGGUCAUCUUACCGAAAGUGUUAGAGAGACAGUAGCUGUUAUUAUGCGAUCAAUUGCUGAAGAAGAUGCUAUUGCUGUGGAGUCCAUGCGAGAGGCUUCUGUGCGUGAUGGUGCUUUGUUGAGGCAUUUAUUGCACUCCUUUUUCCUUCCUGCCGGUGAACGCCGUGAAGUUAUUUGACAACUUGUUGCUCUUUGGGCGGAUUCCUAUCAACCCGCUUUGGAGCUAUUGUCUUGAAUUCUGCCUCCCGGACUUGUUGCUUAUUUGCAUACACGCUCUGAUGGAGUUCAACGUGAAGAAUCAAAUCAAGAGGAGUCAUCAACCGGGAGAAGAAAACGACGCUUACUUCAGCAGAGGAAAUGUCGCAUUGGGAGAGGACUACAAGUGCAAGGGCAAUGGCAAUUGUAUAUGAGCAGCACUACAAGACUGUUGGUCCUUUUUCAGGCACAGCUCACAUUACUUUUCUCCUGGAUAGGACAGAUGACAGAUCUCUGAGACACAGACUUCUUUUUCUUUUGAGGGUCUUUGUAAAUUUAAUCUACUUAUUCUUUCUUGUUUUCUCUUUCCUUUUGGUGAUUUCACUUUACAAGCUCUACUCAAAGUUAAAUUCAACUCAAUUUCAGGCUUUGAUGAAGGAUUUAGCUAAUGUAGAGGCUUAUGUUCUAGUUGGAGCCUGUGUAUUAGCUGUCAAUCUUCUUACAGUGGUCCAUGAAGCUUCGGAGAGGACAGCUAUUCCUUUGCAAUCAAAUUUGAUUGCAGCUAUGGCUUUCAUGGAGCCACUCAAGGAAUGGAUGUAUAUUGACAAAGAAGGUGCUCAAAUUGGACCUGUGGAAAAAAGAUGCUAUUAGAAGGUUAUGGUCCAAGAAGGCUAUUGAUUGGACAAUAAGGUGUUGGGCCUCUGGGAUGCUAGAUUGGAAGAAGUUGCGUGAUAUUCGUGAGCUUCGCUGGGCACUUGCCCUUAGAGUUCCUGUCCUUACCCCACCUCAGAUGAUGCUGGAGAAAUUGUUACUCCAACUCCUGGAGUAAAACGAAUCUUUUCAAGUCCAUGUUGCCUUCCUCACAUUGCACAGAUUCAAAGUAGUGGUGAGAGUGAGACAUUUGGUCUGCUAGGGUUUUGUUUUCCUCUUUCAAUCACCGUAGCGGUGUAGCCAUUCUCUCUUCCUCUCCCUCCGCAGUCUCUCUCGUUCGCUGCUGCCGCCUCGCAAGACGCCGCCGCCGCGCAAGACGCCGCCGCCACACUUGGAGGUUAGUUAAUCAUUAUUUUUUUCUCAAUAGUCAAGAAAUUUAAUUAUGCUUGCAAUGAAAACUUAGAAAUCUAAUCAGUAUUUUCACUGAAAAUAAUUUUAUUUGUAUAUGUAUCUGGUCACUACCUCUAUGGUAAAUACUAAAUAGAGCAGCACUAUCUAAUCUAGUGUAGUAGAUGUAGAUCAACUCAAACUUUUAUGAACAGAAAAGAAAAGAAAGUUGUGGAGGCACGUGAAGUGCCAUCAGCUUCUGUGUAUGUGUUGUGGCCAAUGGCAGUGAAGGGUGUCUUUUGGAUGCUUGCUUUUCUAGCUGCAUAAACGGGUAAUUAUUGGAGAAAGAGAACCGUUAUGCGUGACAAUGUACAAUUGACCUCACCAUUGUUUUAUAUUAUUCAUUUAACGUUUUAUUAUAAUGCUGUUGAAUGGUCCUUGUUGCUAAAACAUUAUUAUACUUUACUGCUAUUACUGUUGUAACCUGUGAGUGAUUAAUCUUUGUUGAAUGAGACUUGAUUAGUAAGCUGAGUUAAUUGGAAUUUCUAAGGGGGGGCAAAAUCUAAGAUAGCAGUAGCUUAGGCAUGGUGGAUGAACUCAAUAAACUAUUUAUACUCAAAUUGGUUUGGAAUUUUGGUUUGGUUUGAGAAAUCAAUUCAUUUUAAAAUGUAAUCAAACUAAACCCUUCUGGAUCCUUCCAAGUUUCAGGGUCUCUAUGGAUGGCAAACACAUUUACGUAUACUAUCGUCUUGGCUUCAAUUUCAUACCCUGCUAUUCUGCUAUUUUUGUUGAAUUCUCUUGGUACCAAUGGUAAAGAAAAGGUAAAGAAAACAAAAAGUGAAUUACAUAUUACAUAUGUAAAGGAAAGAAACACCGUACAAA